CGCCUGGGGAGUACGGGUGAGGUAACGGCUCACCAAGGCGACGACGGGUAACCGGCCUGAGAGGGUGACCGGCCACACUGGGACUGAGACACGGCCCAGACUCCUACGGGAGGCAGCAGUGGGGAAUAUUGCACAAUGGGCGAAAGCCUGACGCAGCAACGCCGCGUGCGGGAUGAAGGCCCUAGGGUUGUAAACCGCUUUCAGCAGGGAAGAAAAUGACGGUACCUGUAGAAGAAGGUGCGGCCAACUACGUGCCAGCAGCCGCGGUGACACGUAGGCACCAAGCGUUGUCCGGAUUUAUUGGGCGUAAAGAGCUCGUAGGCGGUUCAGUAAGUCGGGUGUGAAAACUCUGGGCUCAACCCAGAGACGCCACCCGAUACUGCUGUGACUAGAGUGCGGUAGGGGAGCGGGGAAUUCCUAGUGUAGCGGUGAAAUGCGCAGAUAUUAGGAGGAACACCAAUGGCGAAGGCACAUCUCUGGGCCGUAACUGACGCUGAGGAGCGAAAGCGUGGGGAGCGAACAGGAUUAGAUACCCUGGUAGUCCACGCCGUAAACGGUGGGUGCUAGCUGUGGGCCACAUUCCACGUGGUCCGUGACGAAGUUAACACAUUAAGCACCCCGCCUGGGGAGUACGG
rnacentral:rRNA from 1 species